UAGGAAUCAGUUCCCUUUGGAAGGCAGUGA
rnacentral:piRNA from 1 species